AGCGAACGCUGGCGGCAGGCCUAACACAUGCAAGUCGAACGGAUCCUUCGGGUUUAGUGGCGGACGGGUGAGUAACACGUGGGAACGUGCCCUUUGGUUCGGAACAAAUUAGGGAAACUUGAGCUAAUACCGGAUGUGGCCUUCGGUGGAAAGAUUUAUCGCCUUUGGAGCGGCCCGGGUCUGAUUAGCUAGUUGGUGGGGUAAAGGCCCACCAAGGCGACGAUCAGUGGCGGGUCUGAGAGGAUGAUCUGCCACAUUGGGACUGCGACACGGCCCAAACUCCUACGGGAGGCAGCAGUGGGGAAUCUUGCGCAAUGGGCGAAAGUCUGACGCAGCCAUGCCGCGUGAAUGAUGAAGGUCUUAGGAUUGUAAAAUUCUUUCACCGGGGACGAUAAUGACAGUACCCGGAGAAGAAGCCCCGGCUAACUUCGUGCCAGCAGCCGCGGUAACAC
rnacentral:rRNA from 1 species